GGGAAGCAAUGAAACAGCGCGUGCGCCGUUAGGUCUCGAGUCAAAUUUGAAAUUUAACCGGCAACACAGCAUUGGGGAAGAGCAGCGGUGGUGAACGGAAAAGUAAACGUGUGAAAAUGAGCGAGCUGGAGGAUAUUGGCCACCACUUCCAUGACAGGAUAUCAUCCUUACAGCGCCUGCUGGAUCUGUCAGUUGUUGAAGUGCCUCAAAAUAAGAUUAAGAAACUUGGUCAAGAAGUCUUUGCACUUGAGAGACUUCUGGAGGAGUUUGAAAAAUGUGUUGGCCAACAGAAAGAGCAACUAAAGCAUCUGAAGGUAAACU